rnacentral:rRNA from 1 species
AAUAGAUACCCGGGUAGUCCACGCCGUAAACGAUGUCGACUUGGAGGUUGUGCCCUUGAGGCGUGGCUUCCGGAGCUAACGCGUUAAGUCGACCGCCUGGGGAGUACGGCCGCAAGGUUAAAACUCAAAUGAAUUGACGGGGGCCCGCACAAGCGGUGGAGCAUGUGGUUUAACUCGAUGCAACGCGAAGAACCUUACCUACUCUUGACAUCCAGAGAACUUAGCAGAGAUGCUUUGGUGCCUUCGGGAACUCUGAGACAGGUGCUGCAUGGCUGUCGUCAGCUCGUGUUGUGAAAUGUUGGGUUAAGUCCCGCAACGAGCGCAACCCUUAUCCUUUGUUGCCAGCGAUUUCGGUCGGGAACUCAAAGGAGACUGCCAGUGAUAAACUGGAGGAAGGUGGGGAUGACGUCAAGUCAUCAUGGCCCUUACGAGUAGGGCUACACACGUGCUACAAUGGCAUAUACAAAAGNGAAGCGACCUCGCGAGAGCAAGCGGACCUCAUAAAGUAUGUCGUAGUCCGGAAUUGGAGU